rnacentral:rRNA from 1 species
ACGCUCGACACCUAGGGGAGGCAGCAGUGGGGAAUAUUGCACAAUGGGGGAAACCCUGAUGCAGCGACGCCGCGUGAGCGAAGAAGUAUCUCGGUAUGUAAAGCUCUAUCAGCAGGGAAGAAGAUGACGGUACCUGACUAAGAAGCACCGGCUAAAUACGUGCCAACAGCCGCGGUAAUCUGAGCGGGCUGGCAAGGC